CAUCAUUCAAACUAAUUAUUUGUUAUUUAUUAUAUAAAAACAAAACAGUACAUCAUUUACGUGGCAAUUUUAUAUAGCAACUAUUUCUUAUCCACUAAAUGAAUUUUAUUACCAGUCUAUACUGUUGAAUGUUCUUAUUGCUGAAGUUAUCAUGAAUACAGGAUCUCCAGAUAAUGUGUUUUACGAAGAUGUACCUGAAGGAAAUCUCAACGAAGAUUUUUUUUGUACAGAAAAGAUUGUACCCAGAAAGAUAAAACCGCAAAACAUUGUAAUAAGAUUAAUGAAUAGAGAAAUUUAUGGCUCUCGAAAGCCAGGAUCACACUUCCAUGUUGUGCGUGAAUUUUACCAAAACGUUUUCCCUAAUUUAACUAUUGUAAAUGUAGAAAAGCCGCCUUGUUUUCUUCGGAAGUUUAGCCCUGACGGCAAACAUUUUAUAGCCUUCUCAGCAGAUCAAACAUCUCUAGAGAUAUACGAAUAUCGAGGAGCUGCAGCAGCAGGUGAUUUGGUUGCAGGUUAUCCUUCAGACCUGUUGAACGCAGAUGCUGAUGCACAUCACAGAAUAAGGACACAUAUAUUUUAUAGAUUUUUUAAGCCUAAAUUUACUGUAAAUGUGUGCCAACAAAGAAUUGUUGGAAGACAUGAAAGAAAUGGUGGGCAGCUCCCACUCAUGGAACAGCAAUUGAAUAGGGAAUGUAGUCUUUUUACUGAAGAUGGCAGAUAUGUUAUUGUGGGAUCAGCAGCUCAUAUUCCUGAUGACUUACGCCCACACUUUUACAACAUACACAGCAAUAAUGAAGCUGUUACACCAACUAUUAGAUCAGCUUUAGAAGACUACUCGCUGCACUUAGUUGACCUACAUCAUGGGAAAUUAUGCGAUACUAAACAUUUUAGAACUGACAAAAUUUAUCUUUCACACAAUCAGGGUAUAUAUUUGUAUAAAGAGGUUUUAGCUGUACUCUCAGUACAACAUCAGACUAUUCAUCUCUUCCAAAUAGUGGAAGGCAUGUUGAUAGAAAUAAGAAAAAUAGGAAGAUUUUGUUAUGAUGAUGAUCCAUUUAUUGUGAGUUCUGUCUUUGCACCUGUACUAAAUGAGAGACCAUUCCAUGAAGAAACAAUUAAUAGUUUAAAACACAGACUUCUAGUUUUUCUAUUCAAAAGAGCCAAAUUUAUCAGUGAUGAAACAAAAGACCCAUUGGAACUUAGAAAGUUUUAUAAAUACUUUGAUAUGUUUAAAAGUUUAAGAAUGUGGAAAAUGCAACUAUUAGAUGAAGAUCAUCUUUUUAUCAAAUAUGCUAGCGAAGAGGUGGUAACCCUGAGAGUUGCAGAACCUAACAGCCAAUCAUCCUUUUUUGUUAUUUACAAUAUCAGUGAAAGUAAAGUAUUAGAAGUAUAUGAAAACACAUCUGAAGGACUAUUACAAUUAUUUGAAAACUACUGUGAUUGCUUCAGAAAUGCAAGAUUGUGUGCAGAUUCACAAUUUACUUGUUCACCAUCAAAUAACCUGUUUGCUAGGUUAACUCAACAGCGCUUCAAACAAACAAUAGUAAGGGCAAUUUAUGGUGGAAAAACAGAAGCAACUAAGAGAAUUUUAGCUCAAUUGCCAAUCAGUGCACAGUCAUACAGUGGCUCCCCUUACUUGGAUCUAGGCCUAUUUAGUUAUGAUGACAAGUGGGUGUCAGUUAUGGAAAGACCCAAAGCAUAUGGGGAAUAUCCAAUUAGAUUUUACGCCCGCGACUCUGGAUUACUAAAAUUUAAAAUAUAUGCAGGAGUAUUGGGACAAUCAGUUCCAGCGAGUGCUCGCAGGCUUGUUGCAUUUACAUUUCAUCCAACUGACCCCUUCGCAAUUAGUGUGCAAAGAACAAAUUCUGAAUACAUAGUCAACUUUCACAUAAGAAAUGCAGUUUUUAGUUGACAUCCUUUUAUAUAUGUUCUAUUUGAUGUCACUCAAACCACCAUUUAGGGCAUUAUUGUUUUUGCUAUGCAAAUUAUGUACAAUUAAAUUUUAUUGCAGUUAUGCAGUUAUGGAUAUGAUAUUGCAGAGCAUAUUAAUUUUAAAGUGUAAAAAUAUUUUAUAACAAGUUAUCAGGAUAGGAACUCCAUGCGAGUAACUAGGUAUAAUAUAAAAUGCAUUUUAGCAUUCAACUAUUGGGAAAAACUGAUUUCAACCUACAGUAUAUCAGAUUACUGUACUGUCACUAUAAAGGAAGUUCCUGUCUUGUCAUAAAGAUUGAUUAAAUUCUUUUUAGGUUUUAUUUUUAAUAUGUUUGACACAUAAAUGACAAUUAUGACCAUACUACAUACCAAUUAAAAUGGUACAAAAAUCACACUUUAUAAUUUAAUAGCUGCAAGAUGUAAACCAAAACUAAUAGCAGUAACUCCAUUAUAACAAUGCAGUUUAAUCAACCAAUUAAUAGUGGUUUUCAGAAUGAACAGUUUUGUCCAUAUUAUGCACCACAUAUAGUUGGUGAGGGUAACGUUGCAUCCCUAAUGUUUCCCGAUGGCACCGUGCAAUUCUUCUUCAUACCUUCCCAUAAACGAGAAAGAAGAUUCUACCCAUAUCAUCCCUCUUUCGGACAAGUACAGGGGCCAGUUGAGGC